AUUGAAGUUUUUGAGUUUUUCAAAUAAUGUAUAAAAAAAAUCUGUUCUUAUCAGUUUUAUAUCUGAUACGUCUGGGGACCAUAUAUUAAAUGGAUUUUUCAGAACGGGGUCCGAUUUUGAAGCUUGCUUCCGUCGCCCUAUGUAUGGACCCGAUAUGGCAGUAUCUUCGGGUAGAGUGUCCUGAUG